rnacentral:rRNA from 1 species
UACGUAGGGUGCGAGCGUUAAUCGGAAUUACUGGGCGUAAAGCGUGCGCAGGCGGUUCGCCGUGUCCGAUGUGAAAGCCCCGGGCUUAACCUGGGAAUGGCAUUGGAAACUGGCGGGCUGGAGUGUGGCAGAGGGGGGUGGAAUUCCACGUGUAGCAGUGAAAUGCGUAGAGAUGUGGAGGAACACCGAUGGCGAAGGCGGCCAUCUGGACCGCAACUGACGCUGAGGCGCGAAAGCGUGGGGAGCAAACAGG